rnacentral:tRNA from 1 species
GACGGUAUGGCCGAGUGGUUAGGCAAAGGACUGCAAAUCCUUUUACCUCGGUUCGAAUCCGGGUGCCGCCUCCA